GAUGAAGAACGUAGCGAAAUGCGAUACGUAAUGUGAAUUGCAGAAUUCAGUGAAUCAUCGAAUCUUUGAACGCGUAUUGCGCUCUCUGGUAUUCCGGAGAGCAUGCUUGUUUGAGUAUCAGUAAACACCUCAACUCCCUUUUCUUGUUUGAAAUUGGAGCUGGACUUGAGUGAUCCCAACGCUUUCUUCCAAGAAAGUGGCGGGUUGCUUGAAAUGCAGGUGCAGCUGAACUUUUCUCUGAGCUAUAAGCAUAUCUAUUUAGUCUGCCUAAAAAACAGAUUAUUACCUUUGCUGCAGCUAACAUAAAGGAGACUGGUUCUUGUGCUGACUGAUGCAGGAUUCACAGAGACAGCUUCGGCUGACUUUGUAAACUCGAUCUCAAAUCAAGUAAGACUACCCGCUGAACUUAAGCAUAUCAAUAAGCGGAGGA
rnacentral:misc_RNA from 1 species